rnacentral:rRNA from 1 species
CCCUUAGAUGUUCUGGGCUGCACGCGUGCUACAAUGGCGCUUGCAACAAGUCUUGCCAACCCGAUAGGGUGAGCGGAUCUUUGAAGAGGCGUCGUGAUCGGGACAGUUGAUUGCAAUUACUCGACUCGAACGAGGAAUUCCUUGUAAUCGCGAUUCAUCAUAUCGCGCUGAAUACGUCCCUGCCCUUUGUACACACCGCCCGUCGCUCCUACCGAUUGAGCGAUCCGGUGAAUGUUUUGGACUGGCGUCAGAAGCGGUUCGCUCCUGACACUACGAAAUUUUGUAAACCUUAUCGCUUAGAGGAAGGAAAAGUCGUAACA